UAACCUCCACAGGCUGGCUGGUCUCCAGCUGGGUCGGGUGAGUAUCUCUCCGAAAGGCUCACCCUCAGCACCACUAGGAGC
rnacentral:pre_miRNA from 1 species